CACGUUUAGUAUUUUAUUUAGAUGUGUUCGAAGUGAUCGCAGGGUGUGUUUGUAUCAGAUGGUUAGCUUAGCAACGCUAGCCUGGAAGGUAAACACAGCUUCGAACGGGUGAAAUAUCUGCCGUUCUACGCGAACAGGAGAUAUUACCGCCACACACCGACAUGAACACGUCCACCGAGCAGAGAUAAGCGUUAGUUUAUGAGGAUGACUCUGAGACAGGAGACCGUGUGUGUCCGGAGAAUUAGCUCUGUCACGAUAUCUAAUGGUAUAAAGUUGGUUUCACAAACAGAUUUAUUGUGAUCAACUGAAACCUAAGUAUUUAAAGUCACAUCUGCAUUGUAAGAGCAGCUGUUCAAAGGAGCAUUAAGUGUCCUAAAGACCAUUUCAUAUGCUGAAAUGAUUAUGAUCUGAUUAACUUUGAAGUAAUAUUUUAUGUGAAAUAACUCCCCCCGCUGUACAUUCAUUGUCAUGGUAGUGCAAGUUUUAAUCCAAAAGCAUUUUCAAAUACACAGUUUUAUAUCCACAGAAAAUAAAAAUACACAUUUUGUUAUAUUAUUUUAUUAAUUACAGACGAGCCUUAAGGACACAGCUGUGAGACCAUGUUCUGUUUCUCAUGGCAAAGCAGAAAUAUAAAACACUGGGUUCUAAUCUUAAGUGUAUCAAAUCAGAAAGGAAAACAUACACACCGUUCUAAUAACUGUUUAUGUGUUUAGCAUACUAUAAUGAAGUUAGAAAUUAAGUCUUAUCCAUGACACUUAGAAAUGACUGCCAACAGUAAACAUUUGCAGGGCAUCUUUACCCAAGGGAGAAAUGCAUCUUCCUGUUGACCAGCUUGAAGCUGCAGAUCUCCACCAUCUUGCUGUCAUCAGGACACACCAUCAGGAUGGAUGCCAUUCAAGGAAAAGGAAAGUAAGGAUAUUGCUGUGUUUAUUUUUUUAACCUACUAUAAUGACGUUAGAAAUUAACUCUUAGCCAUGACACUUGGCAAUGACUGCAAACACUAAACAUUUGAUAUUUGCAGGCCAUCUGUAGUUAAGGGAGAAACGCAUGAAGUGUUGUGUUGAUUAUGAUGAUGAUGUGGCAGUUGUCUUCCUGUUGACCAGCUUGAAGCUGCAGAUCUCCACCAUCUUGCUGUCAUCAGGACACACCAUCAGGAUGGAUGCCAUUCAAGGAAAAGGAAAAUCCAGGGCCUCUGUGGCCGCACCAUGGAUUGCGGUUUGUGGAUCGCUCACCGGGGGUCGCAGCGGUGGAUGGUGACUGAGAACUGGAGUGGCGUCUGGUCUGGAUGGUGGAUCGUGGUCUGGAUGGUUGCUGACCAUGGACUGUGAUUGCAGCGGGACUGCUUGGCAUGUCAUGUUGGGGUUGUCCUUCGGGAUAUCUACCCUCAUCAAAUGCUGCUAGAGACUUUGAUAAUUGAUGAUGUUCUCCUACACGUGGCAUCUAUUGCACUUCUGUCAGUCCUGGGAGAGGGAUCCCUCACAUAUUAUUAUAUUUUAAGAUGAACAAACAUUCAUUUUAUUAUGAGUACAGUCCAGUGUGAAAAUAAAUAAUUAACAAUGUUGAAAUAUUGUGUUCACAAAACUAUAUUUGUGAACAUCCAAAAAAGUUAAAAAUACUUAUUGGAAAUUUGAAUACUGGUAGCAGUGGGAAAAAAUACAAAUAAAUAAUUUCAAUGUAAAAAAAAAUUCACAACUAGGAAUUCAAAGGUUUUAAAAUGUAAAAAGUGGAUGAGACUCAUUUACUUCCAUAUGCCUAUAUCCCUUUACCAUAAUAGUAUAAAAAAGUUCUACUGUAUUUAUUACGGUGAAGUUCUGGCAACCAAAGCUGGCAACCGCAGCUGUCAGUUUUAUUACAGUGUAGAACUAAGCAUCAACUACUUUUGAUUAGCUAAGCAGCUAAUAUUGAACUUAGGGCAAAUCUCCCAUGUACUGGCCAAAUCGAGACAGAAGUAAUAGAUCUGAUGAUCACCCAACUAAAACCCAACAAGCUUAAGAAUGAGUUAAUCCAGCGACCUAAUUAACACAGAAUUAAUGACAUAAAUAAAUGCAUGAAUUGCUUGAAUAAAUUAACCUAUGCUGCACAAUUCAUCUUAUGACAAUUUUUACAAUUGCCUGUGCAAUUAUUUAACUGCAAGAAGCUACGACUUAAUUAUGUAAAAAAUGUGGGGGGGGUGUAUAUCAGUUGUUCUCUCAUUACAUGUUCACUAACGAUGCACCUCAAUUGGCCCUCCCAGCUCAUUACUCAAACAUAACUCAGCUCUAUAUCACUGUUAUGAACAAACACUCUGUAGUAAAGGACUCGUUUAGAACUCC